GUGCUCGCUUUGGCAGCACAUAUACUAAAAUUGGAACGAUACAGAGAAGAUAAGCGUGGCCCCUGCACAAGGAGGCCAUGCAGAUUGUGAAGCGUUCCAUAUUUUU